GACGUAGGAUGCAAGCGUUGUCCGGAAUUAUUGGGCGUAAAGAGUUCGUAGGCGGUUGCCUAAGUCUGAUGUUAAAGGCCUGAGCUCAACUCGGGUAUGGCAUUGGAAACUGGGUGGCUAGAGUGUGGUAGAGGUAUCGGGAAUUCCUGGUGUAGCGGUGAAAUGCGUAGAGAUCUGGAGGAACACCGAUGGCGAAGGCAGCCUUCUGGGCCAACACUGACGCUCAUGCACGAAAGCGUGGGGAGCAAACAGG
rnacentral:rRNA from 1 species